CCCCCCCACAGCUCUCAGAGUGGGACCCCCUGGUCAGUAUCACAGUGGGUCCUCUAGUCCAUCAGACAUCACAGAGAGAAGUAAUUCACACUCAGUCUCAUUUGAGUUAUUUACUCUAUUACCACCCUGGCUGGCUGUCCUGGCCCUGCCCACAGAGACCCAGUAGAGGAGUGGGUACCUUCGCCCACAGCUCCUGCUCCAAGAGGGCUGGUACCGCUCUCUGGGCGCUGCCAUCCCAAUCGGCAGCUGGCACUGCAGGGGGCAUGGCACAACCGUGUCUGGAUAGAGAGAGGUUUACGUAUGUACAUAUGUAUGUGUGCGUUCUAUUGUGUGUGUGUGUGCGUGUGUGUGUGUGUGUGUGUGUGUGUGUGUGUGUGUGUGUGUGUGUGUGUGUGUGUGUGUGUGUGUGUGUGUGUGUGUGUGUGUGUGUGUGUGUGUGUGUGUGUGUGUGUGUGUGUGUGUGUAUGCGUGUGUAUGCGUGUGUGCCCAUCCCUCCCUACCCAUUCCCCCAUUCCAGUCCAAGUCAUUAUCACACCCCGAUGCCCCUUUCUCUCUCUCUUUCUCAGAUGAACUCCUGGAUUUACAUGUAUCUGAGGACUUGUGAAAAUGAAGAGUGAAGGACGGGAGAGGUGAAAGGAACACUAUGAUUAUCACAGUUUUGAGAAAGAAGAGCGGGGGGAGACAGUAACACCUUACAUUGUAUAUUUUUGGUCUCUCUCCUUAUCCUUUACACAAUAUGUUGCUCAUUCUCUCACCUACAGUCUGAUGAAGAUAGUUUUUUUGUUUCGCUGCACCGAGCUCUACACAAUUUAGCUGAUUUAAUUGCAAUGACAUUUCCCUACCAGCCUACCAAAACAGCAGUUACAAUUCAGUGUCACUCUGUUUCUGCUCCCUUCCACAACUGACCUUUAUUUGAAGUCAACUUGGAGCAAGCGUAAGUCAGAUUAGAGAAAGUUUUCACAGCCUUACAACCUAUAGUAGGUAUUGAAUACCUCCAUGUCUGUAUUCACCGGAGGAAGCGGGUACAACUAACCAUAGAUCUAGGAUCAGAUGAUUAUAUCCCCAAUCCUAACCUCAACCACUGAGAUUGAAGAAAUGUCUGACCCUGUAUAAAGGGGCAACAUUUUUCUAGUUUAUUUUUCUUUCUCCCCAUGGAUAUAUCUCUUUUGUAUCUCUCACUGCUCUACAAUAAUGGUAUAUAGGCCCAGAAUAAAUGUAUUAUUUCUCUGUACAUGUAUGUAAACCAGAGGGACGUAUCAAGAAAUGUGGAUUUCAGACACUGUCCAAGCUUCUUUGACAAUAUACAUUGCUCAGUCAAUAAAGUUAGCCUACUGUUCCAAGAUAACUUUUUUCACUUCCUGACCCCAAUGGGUUGCCUACCCUCAAUGGUCCCGGCUCUCCCAGGUAGGGAAACGAGUAAGGGGCGAGGAGAGAAGAUGUUUGGGAAGAGCUACAGUAUGUGAUGGAAGGGAACACUGGAGGUGUUCAUCCCUGAAGGACAACUGAACCUUGCCGUGGAAUGGAGCUUGCCAUGGAAUGUAUAAACUCAAUUGUCUUUUCCCAAAGAUGUAAUUAUUCGUACAAAAAAAGGCACAAUUCUCAAAUAUGGCAAAUCCAUCGGCAUGACCAAAAGUUUGGUCUUUCGAUUGUAACCAGGGAGUUUGGAAAACAACACUAAUAGAUUAUUUGAAAGAGAGGAAAGCAAGCCCUAGUUUGUGUCUUCACAUAGUGUCUUCACUCACAGUUAUUGUUUGAUUAACAUGCGAAUUUAGCCAAUUCCUCAGCUUCCUGUGUCCAUGUCCAUUCUGGUCCCGGCUCUCAUCUAGAGACAAUCCAUGUCAACAUCCCCUUGUGUCACAGCAGAUGAGUAGUCAUGACAACAAGCGAUAGCUUGCCCCACAACAUUAACAUCUAGGGAGAUGAGUGUAUCAGAGAGUUGAUGCUAUUGUUUGUGUGUGUCUAAGUGUAUAUCUUCAAGAGCACAUUGAGAGUGCUGCAAUUGGUGUUUGCCCUGUCCUCCUCAAUCAAAUUCUCUUUGGUCUUUUUUUCAUGCAGGUGUUGUUAUUUGCUAUCCCCAAAGCGUUGGUCACACCAUUUAAAAAGUGAGGAUGCAGUAUGCUGCUUUGCAUAUGUUGGGGUUUGUUUGUCUUUGAGCGCAUUGGUCUGUGUGGGAUUUGAUUGUUGCCACUUCAUAAAUUACCUUCUGAGCAGUUGCUCUUUUCUCUCUAACUCUCUCUCUCUCUCACUCUCUCUCUCUCUCUCUCUCUCUCUCUCUCUCUCUCUCUCUCUCUCUCUUUCUCUCUCUUUUGCCCUCUACCACUUUAUCUCACACUGCAUACCUGCGUAGAAACAAACAUCCACAUCUUUGCUAACCUUUCAGCAUUAAUCUUUUAGCAAAGCUCUUUAACCUCUACAUGUUUCCUGACUCACUUAUUUUACAGAAUCUUUAAAGCCAAACAAUUACUCCAUGACCCAGCUGAAUUACUACUGCCUUUCGUUUACAAAAGAGGAAUUGUCAAACAGGUACAUUAAAUUAAGUGGAUGGAGGCAGGGAGUUGUUAUGGUAAAUAUGACUAUUAAGUGAAAGAAGAGAAGGAAUGAAAGUGUUAUGGAGUUGCAGAGAAGGAAUGAAAGUGUUAUGGAGUUGUAGAGAAGGAAUGAAAGUGUUAUGGAGUUGCAGAGAAGGAAUGAAAGUUUUAUGGAGUUGCAGAGAAGGAAUGAAAGUGUUAUGGAGUUGCAGAGAAGGAAUGAAAGUGUCAUGGAGUUGCAGAGAAGGAAUGAAAGUGUUAUGGAGUUGCAGAGAAGGAAUGAAAGUGUUAUGGAGUUGCAGAGAAGGAGUCAAAGUGUUAUGGAGUUGCAGAGAAGGAGUCAAAGUGUUAUAGGGUUGCAGAGAAGGAGUCAAAGUGUUAUGGAGUUGCAGAGAAGGAAUGAAAGUGUCAUGGAGUUGCAGAGAAGGAAUGAAAGUUUUAUGGAGUUGCAGAGAAGGAAUGAAAGUUUUAUGGAGUUGCAGAGAAGGAGUCAAAGUGUUAUGGAGUUGCAGAGAAGGAAUGAAAGUGUUAUGGAGUUGCAGAGAAGGAAUGAAAGUUUUAUGGAGUUGCAGAGAAGGAAUGAAAGUGUUAUGGAGUUGCAGAGAAGGAGUCAAAGUGUUAUGGAGUUGCAGAGAAGGAAUGAAAGUUUUAUGGAGUUGCAGAGAAGGAAUGAAAGUUUUAUGGAGUUGCAGAGAAGGAGUCAAAGUGUUAUGGAGUUGCAGUCACAUGGCCAGACGUGUAUCGGAGAGGUAACAACAAGAUUAUCAUGAUUGGCUGUAUGAAAUAAAUAUGGCCAAAUAUUUCGGAAGAGCUCAUCAUUUCAUGGAGUAUGUGAAUGAAGAAACCACAUGGAAAAAGUGGUAAGCAAGCUAGGUCCAAAAAACAUAUUUUCAACAAGUCAAAUUAAUGUAUUGUGUUAGAGGUUUCAUGAAGCUUGUAUCUAAACCAAAAUAGAUAAUUUUAAGAUUGUUCUAUACAUCAGUUGGGUUCUCUAUGAGCUUCAAUAGGAGGUCCUAAACCUAGCAAUAUACAGUAAGUGCAUCCUUGUAGGUGUGUGGGCUAAUAUAGUCCAAAUGUUUGCCUUGGGGUAAGCUGAGCCAAUGGCCAUGAGGUAAAUUGAGACAAUGUAAGUGUUUUCUUCCCAGGUGUAAUGCAAGGCAUUAUCAGUGGGAUACACUCUAACGAUUAGGGGGGUUCUUUAAGGGUUCGUCUAAGAUCCUCAAAGUUCUUUGAAGAACCUUAGGGUUCUUGGAACUGAAAAUUGCCCCCAAAGGGUUAUUCUAAGAAGCCCAUAGGAGGUAGGGUGUGUCGAGAAACAUCCUUAGUUGGUGGGGGUUCUUGAAUUUCAAAGGACAGCAGGUGCAGUCACUUUAAUGCAGGCACUCCUCAAUGUAAGGUUAGGGUUGUCCCUUGUAUAAUCUAAAUUGAUAUUGUUUUAUGAUAAUACCAUCUUUUCUAUUUGUGCAAAUCUUUCUAAAACAGAAAAUGGACACAGUUCAAUUGAUAAAGAGGUAAGAUUAUGUAUGCUAUAAGAAUAUGUUGAAGGCUAGCUGUAUUGGGUGCAGAUGACUGAACUGUUCACUUUCGUGUCUGUGUCUGCAGGUAUACGGACGAGGAGGCAUGCAAAGGUGUCAACUGGUACAUUAUGCAGAUCAUAUAUUAUGGACAUGGCAUCGCCCUUCCUACACCUCUGAAUAUAACUUGCAACGUGUUUGAUCACCAUGCACUGCAAAAUCAUUCUGGCUAUGGAUACGGAGAACAUCAACACAUUAACAUCAACACACCAGAGGAUAAACCCAUUGGACUUGGGGCUUUGCAGGGAGUUUACCUCAUAAUUAGAUUUUUUUAUUCUGCUUUGCAACUAAAAUCAUAACAAACACUGACAACUAAAAUAUGGUCUUAUUGUUGUUAACGUUAUGUGUAUUAUUAAUUAUAAUAAUACAAAUUAUUAGGGUGGGGGUAGUUCAAAAAUGUACCCCAAAAGGUUCUUCAAAAUAUUCUUAGAGGAUCCAUUAAAAGUGGGUCUUCACAUCAAAUCAAAUUUCUUCUUUGAAGAACUUAUAGGGGUUCCUCCACAGUUGCAAUGUGCAGAACCCCUAAAGGUUACUCCAGGAACCUUUUCUUUUUAGAGUGUAUGACGUAACAACAGGGCCUGGCCUAUGCUAAAAGUGUUUUAAAAAGUACAAAGUGGUUGUUAGGUGUUAAGCCUGGGUUAAACAAUCAUUACAAUUAAUAAAAUACAAAAAAGCUAUGGUGAUUGUGUUGUAUUUAGGAAAUAAAGAUAUAAUUGGUUUUAACAA